CCUACGGGGGGCAGCAGUGGGGGAUAUUGCACAAUGGGGGGAACCCUGAUGCAGCGCCGCCGCGUGGGUGAAGAAGCGCCUCGGCGCGUAAAGCCCUGUCAGCAGGGAAGAAAAUGACGGUACCUGACGAAGAAGCCCCGGCUAACUACGUGCCAGCAGCCGCGGUAAUACGUAGGGGGCAAGCGUUAUCCGGAUUUACUGGGGGUAAAGGGGGCGCAGACGGCGAUGCAAGCCAGGAGUGAAAGCCCGGGGCCCAACCCCGGGACUGCUCUUGGAACUGCGUGGCUGGAGUGCAGGAGGGGCAGGCGGAAUUCCUGGUGUAGCGGUGAAAUGCGUAGAUAUCAGGAGGAACACCGGUGGCGAAGGCGGCCUGCUGGACUGCAACUGACGUUGAGGCCCGAAAGCGUGGGGAGCAAACAGGAUUAGAUACCCCAGUAGUC
rnacentral:rRNA from 1 species